GAGUUUGAUCCUGGCUCAGGACGAACGCUGGCGGCGUGCUUCACACAUGCAAGUCGAACGGGGUCCAACUCGUGGCAACACGAGGGAAGAUCUAGUGGCGAACGGGUGCGUAACACGUGAGGAACCUACCCCGGACUCUGGAAUAACAGCGGGAAACCGCUGCUAAUACCGGAUACCGUCGAACGGUCGCAUGGCCGAAUGACGAAAGGUUUACCGGUUCGGGACGGUCUCGCGGCCUAUCAGCUUGUUGGCGGGGUAACGGCCCACCAAGGCAUCGACGGGUAGCUGGUCUGAGAGGAUGAUCAGCCACACUGGGACUGAGACACGGCCCAGACUCCUACGGGAGGCAGCAGUGGGGAAUCUUGCGCAAUGGGCGAAAGCCUGACGCAGCAACGCCGCGUGGGGGAUGAAGGCUCUCGGGUUGUAAACCCCUUUCAGCAGGAACGAAAAUGACGGUACCUGCAGAAGAAGGCCCGGCCAACUACGUGCCAGCAGCCGCGGUAAUACGUAGGGGCCAAGCGUUGUCCGGAUUUAUUGGGCGUAAAGAGCUCGUAGGCGGUUUGGAUAGUCGGGUGUGAAAACUCCGAGCUCAACUCGGAGACGCCACCCGAUACUGCCAUGACUAGAGUCCGGUAGGGGAGCAGCAAAUGCCUCGUGUAGCGCGGAAAUGCGCAGAUAGCCGCCGUACAUCGGGGCGCAGGCGCUGCUCUGGGUCUGUGGCGACGCCGAGCAGCGUAUGUGAUCGUAGCUGACAGGCUUAGAUUCGCUGCUAAUCCUCAGUGUCGACGCAGAGCAGUACGUGCGGCACCUAACCUCCUGGGUCCGUGCCGCCAUUUCCGCACUACGUCAGGAAUCUGGUGAUUACGUACCCAAGUCUAGUCAUCACAGGAUCGGGCGGGGUCUCGCACAAGAGGUGGAACAUGUCGCUUAAUUCGAGGCGACGCGAAUACCAUUUCUUUGCCUUCACUAAUUGCGAAAAACGGUAGAGAUCUGGGUUCUUUCGGGGCCCGAAACAGGUAGUGCAUGGGGCUUUUCUGCUCAGGUCGUGUCAUGUUGGUUUAAGUUGAAAGGCGAGCGCAACCGAGAGCCUUCAUCCCACACGGAUAAGGCCGGGGUCAGGUAGGAGACCCCGGGCAAGAUUCGGAGGAAGGUGGGGACGGUAGGAGUGUCAUCAUGUGUCUCAAUGUCCAGGUGUGCAAUCAUCCUACAAUGCCAGGUACAAAGGGAUGCCUUGGUGGGAGGGUGAGCGAACAACACAAAGAUAGUCUCAGAUCGGAUCGAAGUCUGCAACUCGAUUUGUCGAAGCCGCAGUCGAUCGUUAUCCGGUAUCAGCUAUUCGCAGCGAAUUCGUUCCCGGAUUCCAGACUCCGCGGUAGUCUCCUCACGAAAGUCGGUAACGUCCGAAGCCGAUCUUCCAACCGUAAGGCGGGAGCCGUCGAGCGUGGGAUCGGCGAGUGGGGAGAAGUCGUAACAAGGUAGCCGUUCCGGAAGGUGCGGCUGGAUCACCUCCUUUCU
rnacentral:rRNA from 1 species